UACGAAGGGGGCUAGCGUUGCUCGGAAUUACUGGGCGUAAAGGGCGCGUAGGCGGACAGUUUAGUCAGAGGUAAAAGCCCAGGGCUCAACCGUGGAACUGCCUUUGAUACUGGCUGUCUUGAGUUCGGGAGAGGUGAGUGGAAUGCCGAGUGUAGAGGUGAAAUUCGUAGAUAUUCGGCGGAACACCAGUGGCGAAGGCGACUCACUGGCCCGGUACUGACGCUGAGGCGCGAAAGCGUGGGGAGCAAACAGG
rnacentral:rRNA from 1 species